GUACUGCUGAGGAGUCCCACAAUAGGACGUAACGCCCGUCCAGUGC
rnacentral:hammerhead_ribozyme from 1 species